UACAGAGGGGGCAAGCGUUGUUCGGAAUUACUGGGCGUAAAGGGCGCGUAGGCGGCCUUCUAAGUCAGACGUGAAAUCCCUCGGCUCAACCGGGGAACUGCGUCUGAGACUGGAAGGCUUGAAUCCGGGAGAGGGAUGUGGAAUUCCAGGUGUAGUGGUGAAAUGCGUAGAUAUCUGGAGGAACACCGGUGGCGAAGGCGGCAUCCUGGACGAUAACUGACGCUGAGACGCGAAAGCGUGGGGAGCAAACAGG
rnacentral:rRNA from 1 species